GGGUACUGACGAUGAUUAAAGAUCAAAAGAAUUAUGGUUUCCAAGGAGCUGGUGGGGGAGGUGGAGUUGGGAACAUCGGUGGUACUGCAGAGAAUAUUGUGUUCUUAUCAACUCCGACGUCUCUAUCUCCAGAUAGAGCCACGAGAGCUGCAACUAAACCAGCAUUUCCAGCAAGAGUAGGCUCUGUAUAAUUGUAAUUACUACGUACAUCGUGGAAACCGUCAUGCUUGUCUGGUCCAGCAACCAUGGCUCCAACAAUGAUAUUCGGAUUAGCCUUGGAUGAAUCCCUCCAUUUCCAUCCUCCUUUACAGUUAUACUUG
rnacentral:lncRNA from 1 species